AUCAAAAAAAACUGAAAUACACCCCUUUUACAAUAGCAGAAAAUACUUCUCAUUGACGGCCGGUAGCUGCAAACGGAAAUCGAAGACUCGAGAUGCUUUUUAACAAGAUGGAGAACAUGGCCAACAAUAGAUGGCGAUUAGAAGACGGCCUGAAGGACAGAAGCAAAAGGAGUAAAGGUUGAGGCAGAGAAAACGAAGUCUGGAAGAGGAAUAAAGGAGCCUGUCUGGGAG
rnacentral:misc_RNA from 1 species